rnacentral:lncRNA from 1 species
CCUGUGCCCAACUGAAGCAAUUGACCAGAGAAUGCAAUGGCAAAAACGGGGCUCUUGAUGAAGUGCGAUUUGAACCGUGUGCAUCUAAAAGCCGUAGACGUGAUGGAAGCUCUGGAAUUUGUUCAAGAUUGUUGCAGUGACUAAGGUUAAGGACUUCCAGCCUGGAAAGCUGAUUGAUGGUAGUAGGUAUGCUACUAAAAUGACCCCGUUCCAGAUUUAGUUUCUGUAAUGAUGAUAAAUGGCAAAUAUCACUAGAAAUUCCUCCUUCCAUUAUGUUGAAGUGACCUAGGUCCAAUACUUUCAAUGAUGAUAAGUGGCAAAUAUGAUUAGGGAUUUGGUGGAGCUUUAAACACUCUUGAAGUAGGAGAGUUUGAAGACCAUUUAGAUGUGUAAUUGAUGAUGGUAAGUCCAUUAUAGCUGUUCCACUCAAAUCAAGCACCCUUAGCUCUCUCAUAUCGCCUUUGAUUUCUGGAAAUCUCUCUAGCUUUGAACAGCCAUUGCAAGACAAAGUUUGAAGGUGUUUCCACUUGUAAAUGCCUCUUGGAAGAAGCUCCAGGUUUACACAUCCUGCAAGAUUCAAGGGAAAAAGAAAUAAAAAAAAAAAAGAACAAGUUAGUUUUAGUAAUUAUAAUACUGCUGCACCAAUCUUUUAAGUGCAUUGUACACCCUUCUAGAGUUAGAAUCUCCAAGUUUGGGACACUUGAGAAGUCUGGGAUUCUGAUGAGAUGGACAGAGUAACUGAGAUCAAUAACCCUCAACUUGUCAUGAAGCUGUAACAAAAUAAUUUUUUUCAAUAGAUAAAUUUAUAUAAAUGUUAAAAAUUAAUAUAAACUUAAACUGUAACUAAAUAAUAAUAACAAUACCUUAUUCCCUCUCCAAAGUUGCUUUAUAUUGCUGUUCCUUAGUAAGAGUUCAACAAGGUUCUUUGCAUGAAAAUUCAUUGGCAAAGAUUCUAAAGGGUAUCCAUCCCAAUGCAGAUAUGUUAACUCAUAAGAAGAGAAUUCAAAGUCCCUUGGAAGGUGGUCUUCAAGAAAUAACUUUCUGCGAGGGUUAUGGAUUUUGAGCAAUCUAAGUCUAUUCAUCUCUUUGAAAGAUUCUGUAGUAAGCUGUGAUGGAUUAAAUUUACAUCUAUCUAGGAAUAGUCCUUCAAUUGCUCUUGUCCCCUGAAAAAUAUAAGACGAGUAGGCAAAACAAAAGAUGCAUUAGACUUAAUUGAGUUAUACACACGGCUAAUUUCUGAAAAAAAAUAAUAAUAAUCAUAUUGAAGCUUGCAUACACACGUAUAUAAACAAGUUCAUGCAUUUGACUCUUACCGUAUUUCUUAUUAGCACAUGAUAGGCAUUCAAAUCCCACAAUCUACUCCUUCUUCCAGGGUCUUUAGGACAUUCUUGACGAAUAAUCUCUCAACCCAUUUGUUGUAUUAAAUCAUGCAUAUCUAGCCUGUUUUUUGAAACAGAUAUGAGACAUCUAUCAUCUAGAGUUGUUAUUGCGUGCUCUACAUGAGGGCCCAAUAUUCUUGAAACAAAAUCUUUGUUAUCUCCUUUGAAAAAGCAUGCAACAUCCAAAAACACCCCCUUGUCUAUAUCAUCGAGUCCAUCAAAACUUAUUCUAAGUACAUUGUGAAUUUCCAUGUGGGAUAUUAUUUUUAGCUUACACAGUGCACUUUCCCAAUUACUUAUUUUCUUUCCAAAAAGAGAAGCACCUAAAACUUUAAGUGCUAACGGAAGGCCAUUAGCAUAAUCUAUAAUAUUGUAUGAGAGGUUUUUAUAAACUUCUUUGGGACGAUUUUGUUUAAAGGCCCACAAACUAAAGAGCUCAAUAGCUUCUUCCUUGUUUAAUUUUGAAACCUCAUAUGGUAUAUCCACCCCAUAUUGAGCAAGCACGUGUUUGUCUCUAGAUGUAAUGAUGAUUGUACUUUUUACCUGAAACCAAUCCUUCUCUUCAGCCAAACAUUCUAGUUGUUUCAACUCAUCCACAUCAUCAAAAAUAACAAGAACUCUAUUGGAGCUUAGACACCUCUUUAUCAUACUAAUUCCUUCGUCAACAUUGUUUAUUUUAAAUUUUUUUCCCCGUAGCAUACCAUGAAGAAGUUCCUGCUGUAAUUGAAGUAUAUCGCAUUUGGAUCUCUCUCUGAUAUUUAUAAGAAAGCUACUACCAUCAUAUUGAUGUGAGAUCUCAUUAUAAAUAGCCUUGGCGAUAGUAGUCUUGCCAACCCCACCAAUUCCAUAUAUCCCUACGACGCUAACCAUAUUUAACUCAGUGUUCAUCAACGAUUUCAAUUUUUCCAAAUGAACACCAAUUCCAACUAUGUUGUUUCCCACACUUAAAGGUUGAUGGUUUACUCUUCUAAUGAUUGUAUCAACAAUUUUGUUGACAACCACAAUCUCAUACCUGCCAAUCAUAUAAAUGAAGUACAAUGUUGAGUUAGAAUGAGUUGCAAAAUAUAAUGAAUUUAGUCGUGUAUGGUGGUGUCCAAUAUUAUUGAAUUAGUAGCAAUGGAAUGAAAAAGAAAGGGGUCAAACCAAUUUACUUACAUAUUUAAUACUCUUACUGUGCCAAGUUGCAAAUUUUCAAUACUCUUACCGUUAGAGCAUUGUGUAGGACUCCUCUAUGAACAAGCUAAUGCCUUCUUUCAACUUUUAUUUCACAAACAACUUGUUUAUGAUUCCUCAAUUUCACUUGUCUUUAGGUUUUAUUAACUUACCAAUACUUACCAAAGUUACAAAGACUCCAUUUUUAGCAUGCCAAUUAAUUUUGCAUUUCCAUAGAGGAAUCAGGAAACAAGUGAAUGUGGAAAAUUUCAUGAUUUGCUUGUUGAUUGGGAACUUAAAUAUGAUUUUAUUUAGAGAAAAUUUAAAAAGGGUUAAAUUUUGAUACUUGUAUUUUUGGACCAACACAAGGGAAAAAUGAAAGUUAGAUUUUGUUAACAAUUUCAUAUUCAUGAGACCUUCAUUAUGAGAAUAAACUUACAAGUAAAAUCAUUCUAAAAGAGCACGAUAGGAAUGUUAAAGGGCAGAGUUUAAGGUAAAUUAAUCCAAAUGAACUCGAAAGGUCAAAGGGACAAAAUAGUUACCCCCUUUGACAUAAUAAAAAUCCAUCAUGAAGAUUACAAAACAAGCUUGGCAUCGAUAUUGUUGCAGUGAGUGAGCACUUAAUUAGUGCAUGGGAAUUAAGACUUGUUGAAGAAUAUAUACGCAAAAAACAAGCAAAAAUGUAAAUUGAAACUCAGGAAACAGAGGGAGAUGCAUGAGAAUCUUUGUAGUAAGUGAGAAUGGAAUUCAUAGGCAUUAUGCAAUUACCAGUGCCUCAUAGCAAAAUAAGAUAUUGAUUAAAAGGGUUUUAAAAACUAAUAUUUGAUUGCACAUAAAAUUUCAAUGUAUUGAAAAUUGCACAUAAAAUCUCUAAAGAAAUAUUCGAUUUAAAGAAAUAUCAAAUAACUUCAAUGCAUUUAAAAUUACAUAUAUAAUCUCCUUUUGAUAUUUUUCUACUCUUGAAGUACUUUUUAUCCAAAAAGUAUUUUAUCGAUUUGAGAUGGAGAUUGAAUAAUUGUUGACAGGCAUUUUUAUCCCUAAAGAAGUCAUAUUUAAUAUUUUUACAAAAUGAAAAUCGUUCUUCCAAAUUUGCAUUUUCAAUAUCCCAUUUAAACAGAUAAACGAGAGGUGAAGAGAAGCAUACUUACUGGUCAUCCACAUGGCAUCCACAUAGAUUAGCUGCUUUUCUCAAGGCAAUCCUCCACUUUUGUAUCAUCUCCUUUUCUUGAUUUGCAUCUCUUUCAUGGUAGGCAAGUGCGUCUCCGAAGCUUCCCCUUUGGUUUCGUACAUCAGAUGAAUCCACAUGGUAGAAAAUUGGUAGAACCAAUGAUUCCUUUUGGCUUUUGCGUUCAAUGAUCUUUACGAGUUCAUUUAAACACCAUCUGGAGUAAGCAUAAUUUUUUGAGAAAAUAAUAAUAAAAAUCCUCGAUUCUUCUAUAGCUCUGAAGAGAUCAGAUGCAAUAUCUCCUCCUUUCUCAAGUUCUUCAUCAUCUCUGAAAGUUUGAAUUCCAUAUGCAGUCAAAAUGGUAUACAGAUGAUCAGUGAAAUUUUUGCGAGUGUCACCACCUUUAAAACUCAAGAACACAUCAUAAUUACGAGAAAUAGUAGAAGAAGAAGAGGCUCUAUGGGUGCUGGAAGAAGCCAUUUUUGGAUGCCUUGAACCAAAAUUACAAGGGAGUUUGGAAUCAAAGAAAAAUAAGAGAGAGGGUCCCUGGAUUCUCAAUGACUAUUGGCUCCAGACCUCUUCACCAUGAACAAAAAUCUAAGCUGGGAGGGAGGUUCAGCUGAAAAGUUUCAUCUGCAGUCAUAAAAGAAAAAAAUAACAUAUAUAAAGCCUCUUUGACAAAUUUCUUUGUAUAUAAAUUCUAAGAGAAACUCACACAUAUAUUUUACCUUUUGGGAGUUCGCUUUGUGUUGGAGACUGCAGUUAAGGGGUGCAGAGAUGAUGGUGGGGAAGAUGGUUUGGGGGAUAGGCCGGGGUUGAAGAAGAGGCUGUGGAUAUUUUGAAGUGAGGUAAGGAAUUCUAAUAUUUUGAAGUGAAUUUCAUGAAAGGUAUUGUUUUUAGUUUUUGUUUCCAUAAUCUUUCUGGUAGGAAAUCCACGUCAAAGUAGGCUACUAACUAAAAGUUAAUAGAGCUCUAUCACCUUUCACAUUAAAAAAUAGUUGGAUAGGCAAACCUUCCGUCCUCACCUAAUGUAAUAUUUCAUUGUUUUAUUUUAUUUUAUUUAUCUCUCUUGUUCCAAUAUUUGCACAACUUCAUCCCUCUUUAGUUUAAUUCCUUUUCUUUGUAAUAUUUAUUUUGAUUUUUUACAACUUGCAUUUAUCCUUCUUUUCAAUAAUUUUCUCCUCAACUUUUAAAAUUAUUAUUUGGUUUUUCUCUUAAGAGUUAACACUACUGCCAUAUAUUGUUUUUCCUUCUUUUGCCAUUAGAGAAAAUAUUUUUGUUUCUUGUUUUCCUUUCUUUUCCAACCAUUUAAUUCUUAUUAAACACACCUUUGAGUCACUUCAAGGCAACUACAAUUCAAGUAAAUAUUUUUAUUUUUUGUUUUUAUAAUAUGUGUGUGGCCUAGAGAUGAUAGGUAUGAUAACGAGAAAUCUUGAGUUAAAACUAAACAAUGCUUCUUUUUUUUUCUUAAUUGAUUAUUUACUUCAUCUUUCAUUUUCAUGUUUUACUUCAAAUAUAUUUUACACUUUAGUUUGGUGUUUCUCUUGGACUUUGAUUAUGGAGUCAUUUCUUAUAAUUAUUGGUAGGAAAUUUCCUAUGGCCUUCCAAGAAAUUAAAAUUUUGCUACAAAAAUUUAUAUGAAAGUAGGCUAUUUACAAAAGGUCAAUAGACCUUGAUGUCCUUUCACAUUGAAAGAUAGUGAGAUUCACAUCCAAAAAGGCAACCAUUGCAUGCAAUGUUUCAUUUUCUCUUUUUUUCCCCUUGGGCAUUAUAUAUAUACACGGAAAAAGCAAUGUAAACUUUACGUGGAAAAGGAAAAUGUCGCCUCCUAAUUAACUUGAUUACUUAUUAUGGUCAUGUGAUAUUUCAUCUUUUUAUUUAUCUCUCUUGUUCCAAUAUUUGUACAACUUCAUCCUUCUUUAGUUUAGUUCCUUUUCUUUGUAAUAUGUAUUUUGAUAUUUUUACAACUUGAAUUUAUAGAAUGUCUUUUUUCAAAUUUUUUUGUUUUAAUUUUUAUGAAAAAUAUUGGUUUUUACUACAUAUGAUAAAUCCGUUUUGUGGAUAUAUUGAGAUAUGUAAAAAAAUAUUGGUGGAUAUUUUAAAACAAAAUAUGGAUGAGAUAAAAAUUGUUCAAAAUUCAUGGAAAUAUUUAGAACAAUUAUAAGAAAUGGAUAUAAAAAGUAAUAAUAAAUAUUUUUAUGUUGUUUUGUUAAAGAAAUUGAUAUAUGUAUGAUAUAAUUUAUAACAUUCAAUAAUAAUAUUUAGAAUUUUAAAGUAAAUUUUAUAUAAAUGUAUCUAAUUUGUAUGUAUUUAAUGACAUAAAAGAAAUGAUAAAAAUAUUAGUAUUUUUUAUUUUAAAAUAUUGAUAAUUUUAUUUGUAAAUAUAAAAAACCAUAUAUUAAUUUAUGCACAUGUAAUAUAAUUUAUAAUGUGAUCUAUAUAUAAAAGACAAUCUUAAUGUAAUAUACAUAAAUAAAUAAAUAUUGUAUAUGUAUAAGAUAUACGUAACACUAUAAUAUUAACAAAGUUAGCUUGGUAGUUGGUGGCGUGUUGCUCUUACUCUAUGGCUGAGGUCAUGGGUUCUCACACCCAUCCUUCCACAAUGAUUUAAUUCUUUUUUAAAGGUAAGAGGUCGAAUCCCACAUCGGCCAGCCACAGCACUUAAAAACCUGCUCAUAGACCUUUGGCAGAUACCAAACUUCGAAUGCGCAUGACCGGCUAGGCCGACGUGGACGCAAAAUUUUUCAAAAAGCUUGAUUUAUCUCCGAGCCGAGAUAUUGCCGAGACAUCCACCAACUGCAUCAUGUUGGAUGUUACCGACAGACGAAAUAUUUCCCGCUACUUUCAUCUUGAUCAUACCCAAUUAAUUAAUGUGAAUAAACGUUGCUAGGGUGUUUUUUUGUUUGCAAAUAUUUGUUUGUAUGCUUAUGCAUAUAAUACUCUUCCAAUCUUCAAUAUAUAUAUAGAAUAUUCUUCUAUAUAAAUUUUUUGAGAAAAGUGUUUUGUUCCUUGCUUUUCCAACUAUUUAAUGCUUUUUAAAAACACCUUGAGUCACUUCAAGGCAACAACAAUCCAGGUAAUUAUUUUUAUUUUUUGUUUUUAUAAUAUGCGUAUGGCUUAGAGAUGGUAGACAUGAUAAUGAGAAAUCUUGAAUUAAAAUUAAACCAUGCUUUUUUUAGUAAUUGAUUAUUUACUUUGUCUUUCAUUUUGAUGUUUUACUUCUAAUAUAUCUAACAUUUUAGUUUGGUAUUCCCCUUGGACUUUGAUUAUGGAGCUAAUUCUUAUAAUUAUUGGUAGGUAAUUUCUUAUAACCAUUAAGAAAUUUAAAUCUUGUUAUAGAAAUUGAUAUGAAAGUAGGUUAUGUAUAAAAGGUCAAUAGACUUCAAUGUUCUUUCACAUUGAAAGAUAGUGAAAUUUAAAUGGAAAAAAUAACUAAUGUUACAAAAAAUUGUAUGAAGACAAUGUUAUUUACAAAAAGUCAAUAGACCUCAAUGUCAUUUCAUAUUGAAAGAUAGUGAAAUUUACAUAUAAAAAAAAAUGCAACCAAGCCUUGCAUGCAAAGUUUCAUUUUCAUUUUUUUUUCUUUCUAUUUUUAUGUUUUCCCCUUGGGCAUUAUCUAUCUAUCUAUAUAAAUAUAUAUACACCUCAUUUCUACAACUUUUUUUGCUUAACUUUCUUUUUCUUUUGUUAUUUGUAUUUAGUAACAAUGGGUUCAUUUGACAUUCAUUCCAAAGCCUCCUUUUUUGUCCUCAAAUUAUUCAAAUGAUGAUAUCAUAUAAGGAAUUUCUUAAAUAGAUGCUUGUAAAAAUUAUAUCAAUUUCUAGUACUUUUAUUCUAAAAAAAUAUCAUCUCAUUUUCUUUAAUAUUUAUCCUUUAAUCAUUGUUGCAAAAUGAUAAAAUUAAAGUAAGUGCAAUUAUGCUUUACUUGAUAAUAAUAAGAAUUUCAAAAUCUCUUCGCCUCAAGAUAUUGAAGUCUAAGUAAGAAAAUAGAUGGAUAAAAGUGUGACAUAAAACUUUUCUUCUUUUUCCUUUUCCCAUUUGAAAGGUAUUUGUAGUUGAAGUAAAAAAAAUAUCAAGUGACAUAACAAAAAUAUAGGAUUUGCAAAAAGAGUCAAAGGUCUUUGAUGACUAUCUUCUGCAUUUUGUUUUUUGCUUUUUGCUUUCCUCCUUUCAACAUUCAACAACCACUCUUCUCUUUUAGUAGUUGUCUUGAACUUCGAUGGUAAUUGCGCAAAGCCUUCUAAGAAAUUUGCUUGAAGGCAUACUACCAUCCAAAGUUCAAUAAAUCAAAGAAAAUUGCUUGAAAAUAUUUUAUAUCAUUUCUUGAAAUUUAGAUCUUAGUAAGAAAUUGGUUUAAAGGUAAGAUGCCAUCAAAGUUUAGAAAAUAAAAUGUCUUUCAUACUAUUUCUCAUGUUUAGGUAACAUGAAAAAAACAAUAGUUUUUUUUUUUUUUUUCAUUUUGCUUUUGUUUUUCCUCUUUUGGCAUUCAUUGGUGACUAGUUAUAUACACAUAGUAUAAUUUUUAAAAGGAUUUCUUUUAAUUUUUUUUUCCAAAAUAAUAUUUGAGGAACCUUGAUUAUACCCUUUUAUUAUAUUUUCUUGAGAAUAAAAAAAAAGAAUCUUUUACGCAUGUUAUUCAUGCUAUAUAUGAUAAUUUAAUUAAAUUUUAGUUACAACUUUGAGGGGCUUGAAGCCCACAAAAUCCAUUUAAUAAUGUUUUUUUUUUCAAAAUAUUUAUAUAGCUAGAGGUGCCAAAUAUAACAAGAAGAGAUCGAUGGAUAUGAAUACAGAAAUGAUUAAAAAAAGUAUACAAUAGUUUUCCUUUCUAUGUGUUUACUUUCUAAUUUGGUAGCUCUUUGUACUCUCAUAAAAACUUUUAUAAAUCUUUGUGUCAAAAUUGUAUGAAGAUAAUCCAUAUACAUGUGUGUAUUAUAUAUCACUCAAUGAUAGUUGGUUUCAAAUGGAAAAAGCAAAUAUUGCCUUCUAACUUUAUUAUUAUCGUAAUGUGAUAUUUCAUCUUCCAAUUUUAUUUUCAUCCUUGGCAUUUAAUACUAUGCUAUUUAUAAUACUUUCUCUUCUUUUUUAAAACAUUGUUGUUAUUUGAAUUUCCAAAUCCUCCUUAUUUGUUAUCAAAUUAUUCAAAAUAUGAUAUUUGAUUUAUGAAAUAGAUGCUUGUAAAAUUUAUGUCAAAUGAUAAUAUUUUUUAAGAAAAAAAAUAUUAUUUCCUUUUCUUUAAUAUUUAUCCUUUUGUCAUUACUACAAAGUGCAAUUAUCUUCAUCAUCUCUGAAAGUUUGAAUUCCAUAUGCAGUCAAUGUGGUAAAUAGAUGAUCAGUGAAAUUUCUGCGAGUAUCGCCGCCACCUCGAAAACUCAACACGUCAUAAUUACGAGAAUUAGAAGUAGUAGAAGAAGAGGCUCUAUGGAUGAUAGAAGAAGCCAUUUUUGGAUGACUUGAACCAAAAUUACAAGGGAGUUUGGAAUCCAAGAAAAUCAGAGAGAGGGUCCCACAUCGGUCAGCACAGAACUUAAAAACCUGCUCACAGACCCUUUGGCAGGUAGCAGUGUUUAACUGCGUGUGGUUGGCUGGGCCAUAGCUCACGUAAAAGUUUUCGAAAGGGCAAUUUAUCUCUUUGCAGAGAUAUCCACCUACUGCACCCUGGUUGCAAACUUUGCAACCCAUGGUUUAGUUUGAAAUAUCCGUACAUAUGUAUUUGGAUUUGACCGAUAUAUGGGUUAUUAAGGAAUAUAAAUUAUUUAAAAUUCAUAAAAAUAUUUAAAAACUAGAAUAUAUGGUAUUAAUAAUUUAUUAUUUAUGUUAUUAAAUUAAUUUUAAUUUAUAAAAUAUUAUAACUUCUUUAUUUUUUAUUUUAGUAAUUUUUAAAUAAAUUUAUACUUCUAAUAUUUAAAAUUUUAAAAUAUAAAUAUAAAAAAUUUAAAAGUAAAAUGAUAAUAAUUUUUAAAAAUAAAAUUAAUGAAAUAAAUGAUGAUACAUUUAAUAUUAAAAUUAUAAUUUAUUUAAUUUAAAUACAUUCAAUAAUGUAAAAUAAAUAUUGAUGCAUAUAUGAUUUUUUACAUAUUUAUAAUUUUUAUAUUUAAUUAUCACAUAAAUGAUAUAAAAAAAAGACUUAUUUUAAAAAUUAUAAUAAUGGUUUUUAUACUUUUCUUAAUUAAUUAAAAAAAUUAAAUAAAAUAAUUUGAGUUAAUUUAUUUAUUGUGAAUGCAUAUUAAUAAACAUUAAUUUGACCCAGUUGUAGCUGGACUAACAUCCAAGCCUUUUGCUUGGGUUCGAAUCCCUUUGGCAUCUUUUGGUGUGGAAUACUUUCAUCUAUGUAUGAUAUUCUUCUAUAUAAGAUUUUCUUGAAAAGUUUUUAAUUUCUUGUUUUCCUUACUUUUCCAACUAUUUAAUUCGUUUUAAAUACACCUUUGAGUCACUUCAAGGCAGCAAUAAUCCACCUCAUGAUUUUUACUUUUUGGCUUUAUAAUAUGUGUAUGGCCCAGAGACGGCAAGCAUGAUAAUGAGAAAUCUCAGAGUUGUUUUUUUUGGUAAUUGAUUAUUUACUUUGCCUUUCAUUUUCAUGUUUUACUUCUAAUAUAUCUGACAUUUUAGUUUGCUAUUCCCCUUGGACUUUGAUAUGUAGUUAAUUUUUAUAAUUAUUGGUAGGAAAUUUUCUAUGACCAUCAAGAAAUUUAAAUGUUACCCGGAUAUAGAAGUAGGCUAUUUCCAAAAGGUCAAUAGACCUCAAUGUCCUUUCACAUUGAAAGAUAACGAAAUUUACAUUAAAAAAAAGCCAUCAAGUCUUCCAUAUGAAGUUUUAUUUUCAACUUUUUUUUUUCCCUUGAGCAUUAUCUAUCUAUCUAUAUCAUAUAUACACCCAUUUCUACAACUUUUUCUUUUUGCCUAACUUUCAUUUUUUUACUUUUAUUUUAUUUUCAUUUAGUAAUAUGGGUCCAUUUGACAUUCAUUUCAAAACCUCCUUUUUUUUGUUCUCAAAUUAUUCAAAUGAUUUGCAUAUAAUUACUCAAAUUAUAUGACAUUUAUAAGGAAUUUUUUAAAUAGAUGCUUGUAAAAAUUAUAUCAAUUUAUAAUACUUUUAUUCUAAAAAAAAUAUCAACUCCUUUUAUUUAUCCUUUAAUCAUUAUUGCAAAUGAUAAAAUUGAAAUAAGUGCAUUUAUGCUUUAUUUCAUACUAAUAAGAAUUUCAAAAUAUCUUCACCUCAAGAUAUUAAAGUGUAGGUAAGAAAAUAGAUGGAUAAAAAGUGUGACAUAUAACUUUUCUUCUUUUUCCUUUUCCCAUUUGGAAGGUGUUUUGUAGUUGAAGUAAAAAAAUAUCAAGUGGCAUAACAAAAAUGUGGGAUCCGCAAAAAGAGUCAAAUUAAAGAUGACUAUCUUUUGCGUUUUGUUUUUUGCUUUUCUCCUUUCAACAUUCAAUAACCACUCUUCUCUUUUAGUAGUUGUCUUGAACUUUGAUGACAAUUGCGUAAAGGAAAAUUGCAUGAAAAUAUUUCAUAUCAUUUCUAUUAUUUCUCAUGUUUAGGUAACAUGAAAAAAAGUAAUAUAUCUUUUUUUUCAUUUUUCUUUUGGAUUUCUUUAACCUUUUUUUUUCCCAAAAUAAUAUUUGAGGAACCUUGAUUACACCCUUUUAUUAUAUUUUCUUCAGAAAAAAAAAAAAAAUCUUUUAUACAUAUUGAUAUUAUCAUGGUUUUAAAAAUCGGACCGGAUCAGUUGGACCACCGACCAAUCAUGGUUCUAGUUCAAUCCGAUCAAUUGGGUUGAAAAAUGGUUGGACUAGAAUUAGGCCGAUUAAACCGAUAAUCUAAUCGACAAAUCAAAUGAAUCAGAUGAUUCUCUCUAAAUAGUCUGAUUCAACCUUCUUUUUUUUUCCAGUGUCGUUGUCCCCCGCCAAUAAGACACCCGCCCCCCUCCCCCCCCCCCCUCUCUCGCUGUCCCUGUUGGCAAAACCCUCACCCUCCUACAAAGCCACCUACGCUGGAAAAGCUCUUCUCCUUUUUGCCCGUCCAUUUCCUCCCUUCUUCCUAAUAUUUUUUUUAAUUAUUUUUUACGUCAUCUCAUUAUUAUUUAUUUUCUUUUAUAUUUAUUAUUUUUUUACUUCAUGAUGUUUAAAACUUAUGAUUUUAAUUUAAAUUAAUAAAAACAUUACAAUUUUAAAUAAAUUAAGAUUUUAAAAUAAGUUUUUUUAUUUAAAAAUGAAUAUUAAAAUUUUAAAUUUAAAUUAUGAUUUUAAUUUAAAUUUCUAAUAUGAAACUUAUUUUUUGAUUUUCAAAUAAAAUUUUAAUUUUUAAAUAAUAUAUAAAAAUUUUUAUUUUUAUAAUUAUUUUAAAUUUUAAUAAUUUAUUAAUUAUGUAUUUAUGACAUCAUUGGUUCGACCGCAGUCCGAUCAUUGAACGGUGAACUCAUAACUUUUUCGGUUCAGUGACCGAUCCAGUUCUAAAAACAUUGCAUAUUAUACAUGAUAAUUUAAUUAAAUUUUAGUUACAACUUUGAGCCGCUUGAAGCCCACAAAAUCCAUUUAAUAAUGUUUUUUUUUCAAAAUAUUUAUAUAGCUAGAGAUGCAAUAUAACAAUAAGACAUCAAUGUGAUAUUUCAUCUUCCAAAUCUCUUUUAUCCCUUGGCAUUUAAUACUAUGCUAUUUAUAAUACUCUCUUUUUCUUCAUUGUUGUUAUUUGAAUUUCCAAAUCCUCCUUAUUUGUUCUCAAAUUAUUCAAAAGAUGAUAUUGAAUUUAUGAAAUAGAUGCUUGUCAAAUUUCAGUCAAAUGAUAAUAAUUUUGAAGAAAAAAUACUAUCUCCUUUUCUUUAAUAUUUAUCCUUUUGUUGUUACUACAAAGUAAGUGCAAUUAUGCUUCAUUUGAUGAUUAAUGAAGAAAAAUUACCUUUUUUCUUUAUUAAAUAUUUAUCCUUUAAUUAGUUUUGCAAAGUUAAAUUAGAGUUUCAUGAAUGCCUUUUCUACUACAAUUAUGAAAUUCAAAAUUUAUUGACUUGGUACAUUGAAAUCUCUCAAAGAAAUUAAGAUUGCAAUUGAGAAAGCAAUCUUUUAACUAACUCCUUCAUGAAGAACUUAUCAUAAAUAACUAUAGUGGAAAAGAAAAGUAUCAUGAUUGAAAUUCAAAAUAAUAUUUGUAACUUAAAGAUUUCUUUGAGCAUUAAAGUUUAGUGCUAUAUUAUAAUAGCAACUAAAAAGAUAUUUUUUUGCUCAUUUGUCCCAUUUAUUCUUUUGAAAGUGUGAAAAGAAAAUUACUAGUUGUACAAUUAAAGGAAAGAAAAAACUUUAAUCUUGAUAAGUGAGAAGAAAGAACAAAAUUUCUAUAAGAUUUUCAUGAAAUUUAUGUGAAAAAAAGAUAAUGCAUAAAAAUAAAUCAAAUCUGAAAUUCUAUGCAUACUUUAAAUUUAUACAAUUGGAUUGAUUGACAAUGUUGUCCUUGUCCUUCAUCAAAGCACAACCUCCUUUGUACACUUAUUGUACGAAUUCACACACCCACCCAUGUAAAUAUUAUCCGUUCUAAGUCUAGAAAGGGUCUCAUGGUUUUAAAAUGUGUCCAUAAAACUAAAAAAAAAACUCAUACAUAUUGUUAGGAAUUUGAGGCUAAUACAACCUAUGGUAUUCACCCUAAGGAGGGGGGGGGGGGGGGGGGGGUGAAUAAAAUUUAAACAAGUGAAUGCAAGAGAUAAUUAUAUGCAAGUAUAUAAUAAUCAAUAUAUAGACAAUUGCAUAUAUAUUAAAGAGUAGGGAAGAGAGAAUGCAAGCACAAGAGUUUAUAGUGCUUCGGCGCAACCCGGCCUACAUCCUCUCUCCUCUAGCUUCAAUCCUGAGCUUGAGGUUCCACUAAUCCAAGGCUUCCAAACUAAGCCUUUAAGUAAUACAAUUGGAUUAUGGUUCCAAUUCACCCUCUUGGACUUUUGGCUCCAAGCACCCUUUACACUUCUCAAGAGAUAUCCCACUCUUGAACAACCCCUCAAGUGAUACCCCACACUUGAAAAACUUCCUCUCAAAGAUUUACAAAUGAAUGAUCUCUCAAAAAUCCUAGCACAAGAACUUUAAGCUCAAAUGAUACAAGAAAAACUAGGAUUGAAUGGUGCACUAAAGAUAUGCAAGUUUUNNNNNNNNNNNNNNNNNNNNNNNNNNNNNNNNNNNNNNNNNNNNNNNNNNNNNNNNNNNNNNNNNNNNNNNNNNNNNNNNNNNNNNNNNNNNNNNNNNNNCCCUUUUUUUUAUGAUUUCCCCCCCCCCCCCAUUUAAUUUUUUCCCUUUUUUUUUCUAAAAAGGUUUCCUUGUUUUUAAAUUGUUUCCUUAAAACUAAAAAAAAACCCCUUAUUUUUUUUUGGAAUUUUGGGGUUUAUCCANCUUUUGGUUUUCCCCUUAGGGGGGGGGGGGGGGGGGGGGGGGUGAAUAAAAUUUAAACAAGUGAAUGCAAGAGAUAAUUAUAUGCAAGUAUAUAAUAAUCAAUAUAUAGACAAUUGCAUAUAUAUUAAAGAGUAGGGAAGAGAGAAUGCAAGCACAAGAGUUUAUAGUGCUUCGGCGCAACCCGGCCUACAUCCUCUCUCCUCUAGCUUCAAUCCUGAGCUUGAGGUUCCACUAAUCCAAGGCUUCCAAACUAAGCCUUUAAGUAAUACAAUUGGAUUAUGGUUCCAAUUCACCCUCUUGGACUUUUGGCUCCAAGCACCCUUUACACUUCUCAAGAGAUAUCCCACUCUUGAACAACCCCUCAAGUGAUACCCCACACUUGAAAAACUUCCUCUCAAAGAUUUACAAAUGAAUGAUCUCUCAAAAAUCCUAGCACAAGAACUUUAAGCUCAAAUGAUACAAGAAAAACUAGGAUUGAAUGGUGCACUAAAGAUAUGCAAGUUUUGAAAUAAUGGUGCACUAAAAAAAUACUCUUCCGAGGCUCAAAUAUAAUUAAGAAAGAUUUGGGAAUGUUAAGCUCCUUAAACAAUGAAGUUUGGAGCCUUUUUAUAGAAGAGAAAAACCAAACUAGCCGUUUGGGGUUUGACCGGUCGAGCUAGGGGUCGACCGAUUGACUAGCCAUUAGCAUUUAAUGUUUGACAAGUGACCGUUGGGCCUUAACCGGACCUCAACCGGACCUCGACUGGACCUCAACCGGUUGAGGUUCAACCUUGACCGGCAAAAGAAGGCCAUUAAGAGAGAGAGAAACUUUUUGGCCUCCCUCAACCGAUCCUCGAUCGGACGAGCACAACCGGUCGACCGGUUGAACAGGUUGAACCAUUUUUUGGCUCAACACCCAACCUUUUUCGACUUAAAACCUUUUAACACAAGUUUGAAAAUCAUUUAACACAAGGUUUUAGUUGAAAACAUGAAAUCAUCAAAUUCUUAAGAUAUUUAAAAUAAUAUUACUCUUGGAUGAUUUUGGUGCAUAAAUAAAUAAUGAAAUGCAUGAAAGUCCUAAUGUACCAACAACCUUACAAAGAGAUCUUAUGAAGCUUUGAUCUUGAAAAACUCUUCUCUUUGAGGUGGUCUCUUCUUCAUGAUUUCUCCUUGGCUUGAUUUGUCUUUGUGAUUGCCACUUUGGAAAUUGUUUUGCCUAAUCAUACUUGAAAUAUGAUCAUUAGUUCUAAACCUUGUUUUUUUAUCAUCAAAAUCAAGAUUAACCAAACCUUGGUUUCACACAUAUAUAUAUAGGCCUAAUAAUUUUAUCUCAUAUCCGAUGUGUGAUAUCACAAACACUUUCAUCCAAACAUAACAUCCUUGUUGUAUCUCAUAGAAUUGUGGAACCAAACAGACAAACAUCAUCAACGAGACAAAAAAACCUCCACAUCGGGUCAUAGCUUAGUUCUAAUGCCAUUUAUAAUGACUUGCACCCAACCAUGUAAAUGCAUUUUAAAGUCGUGAUGACCCCUUUAAACCCAGAGUGGAUAAUAUCUAUAUGAUUGAAAGUGAGUUGUUACACUUGUAGUUUAAUUGAUUUAAUUCGUUUGACAUUUUUAAUUUUUACAUUUUUUUGUUGCUUUGGUAUUCCUCGUCACCACUUUGCUUUUGCAUUUAAGGAGCAUCAUUUUUCAAUAUUUUUUCUUUUUUAAUUAAUUUUGUUAUUAUUGUUUGGCUUUUCACUCGCAUGUUUAUAAGAAUAAUACGAAGAUACUCUUUUAUGUAUAAUUGAUUUUAUAAACUAUGACUAAACUCAAGUAGUUAUAUAUCAAAUAGUAAGACUCUAUUUCUUAUCAUCUAAAUCAAAAUUUGAAGUUAUCCAAUUAGAGACAUUUCUAUGAAAGAGGAAUAUCAACAACUUUUUUUUUAAAGAAAGGCAUAAAAAUUAGAAAAUUGGAUGGAUGAAAGUUUUUUUUUUUCCUUUAAAAGUACUCGUAGUUAAGGUAAAAAAAAAAUCAAGUGCUAUAGCAAAAACAUAGAAUUUGCAAAAAGAACUUAAAAUAUAUUCAUUAUGUAAAUUGUCUACAUAUCUUCAAAUAAUAAUAUUAUGGGUUUUUUUAUUAUACUUAUUAACAUAAAUUUUAAAUUGCACAAACACCAAAAGGAAUUGAAAGCAAGAAAAUUAAAUGUAGAAAACGUAUUAAAUUAAUUACUCAAUAACCUAUAUUAGAAUAAUUUGAAUAAGCAACCCAUUUCUACAAGAGAAAAUUUGAAGUUUUUAGGAAUAUCAAAAGUAUAUAAUAACAACAUAUUAAAGAUUCAUUCCAAAUUUCUCCCAUGACAUCAUUUCAAUUCAUGGGAAAUUCAUAAUCAAUUUAGAAUAAUUUUAUAUGAAAUUUUAAUAUUUUAAAUUAAAUAAUGUUUUUCUACAUCUUUGUAGCCAGCAAUGACAUGAAGUUAGUGGCACUUCCCCCCUCUCUAAAAUACUUCUUUCUUGUCUCUUUUUGAAAGGCUUGGAUGAUUUACUGUCGUGAUAAUGAAAAUUGAUAGAAACUUAUAAAAAUAUUAAGAAAAAAACUUCAAAAUAUGACAUGAUAAAAAUACUUUGAAAAAUAUAAUACAUAUAAUAUUUUUUGUGAUAGUAUAUAGAAUUUAAAAACAUAUUAUUAUUAAAAUUAUAAUAUAUUUAAUUUGAUUAUAUAAAAAAAUAUAAAAUAAGUGAUACUAUAUGUAUAAAUAUUUUUAUUUAAAAAUAUUGAUAAUUUUAUUUUAUUUUUAUUUAAUUAUUAUACAAAAGAUACUAAUAUAAUUAAAAUUGAUUUUUAAUUUACAAUAUAUUUAUCUAUAUAUUUGUAUUAUAUAUAGACGUGUAAUAUAACCAAAGUAGUAGCUUUGGUCUAAUUAACGGUCGCACCAUUCACCCGUAAGCAUUGGGUCAUGGGUUCGAUUCAACAACCAAUCUUGUUGCUUCUAGUGGUUUUCUUAAGCUUUGAUGACAAUAUGCCAAAGCCUUAUUAGAAAUUUGCUUGAAGAAAAGCUACCAUCCGAAGUUUAAUGAUCCAAAGGUCAAUGAGCCAGGAAAAUUUACGUGAAUUUCACAUCAUUUCUUAAAAUUUAAUCUUGCUAAGAAAUUGGUUUGAAGGCAUGCUACUACCAAAGUUUAAUAAACCAAGAAAAAUGGAAGACAUUUCACAUUAUUUCUCGAAAUUUGGAUCCUGGUAGAAAAUUUCUAUCAAGAUAGGCCAAAAACAAAAUUGAAUAAACCAAGGAAAUUAGCAUGAUGACAUUUCACACUAUUUAGUUACAUGAUUGUUGGGUAUUACCUAAAAUUCGAAAGACCAAAGAAAAUUUCCUCUCUAUAGUUGGCUUUAUGUAGAAAAAGCAAUCCUUGGCAUUGUAUGUGUGUUAGUUUUUAUGAUAAAUUAGUGUCACAAAAUGGUUGAUGCUUCAAAAGUAAUAACUUAGUUGACAAAUACAAUGCCAUAAUUUUAUAUUUUUGCUCAUUUGAUGUAUGUGGGAACAAAAACUAACAUGGAUCUUAAGGUAUUCCAAAACAAAAUACUUGAAAUUGAAAUAUUCUUUCCCACCUAAUUUGAUUGCUCAUUCUAGGUUGGAGAUUCUAUCUCUUUACACAGAAUUAUGCAUAGUGCAAGAGUGUGAGUUUAAAUUGGCAUCACUUUAAUCAAAAUCUAAGACUGGGUUGAAGUAUUUGACUUGCCUUGAUUAAUAAGGACAUCCAUGGCUUAACUGAUGGAGGUUGGUAUGUACUAACUUAUCCAACAAAAUGUUUAAUCUGCAAAAAAAUUAACAACAAUCAAGCUUGUUCUAGAAAUGCCGAAAAACGAGUCCCAAUAAAAAUGGGUUUUGAAAAACAAAAAUUCAGUAAAAGGAAUUUCAGCCCCUUGGAAUCAGCAAGGCAUAUAUAAUAGAAACUAAGAAAAGGAGGGUGGCUUAAUUACCAAAAAGUUGAGAUAAAUGUUUGGUCAACAUCAACAAUUCUCUUACUUGAAAUUAGUGUCUUGUACAGCAUAUCCAAUGAACAAAUUUGCAAAGAAGCUCCAGCCAUCUAUGCAUAUGGUCCAUUUCAUGGUCUUGGGCAUCAACACCAUUACCAUCAAUAUUCAGGGUGGUGCCAUCACAGCUUCUCUCCACAUCAGUAUUAGUAUCUUCUACUGCUGAACUGGUGUCACAGCUUCUACGUUGUACAAUUGUGAGAUUGUUCUGUUCAUAAUCGUGGGCAUAUAGAAAGUGGAAGCCACACCUCGCCACUUUCACUGGUUUAACACCAAAGUAGACAUUAAAUGAAGCGUUCAAGGUUCUCCAUUCAUUUGAGUGAUAUCCCUCGGGAAUAUUUGACUUAGGAUAAUAUAUCAAGCACCCUUGACUUGAUGCAUCUUCAUCAUAGCAGAAUUCACAAAAUUGAUGAGAGUGACAGGAAAAAUAUGCACUGUCAUCAUCGAAAUUCAAUUUACAGUUGAAAUCCCUAUGUGGUGUGGUCUCAAUCUCAAGUGGAACAUAAAGAGAGCACAGAACAAAGCCCAAGAAGUCAUCAUUUUCAUACCAACUCCAGGGAAGUUUCAUUGUUAUUUUGAACCCGCUUUUCUGAUGGCAUAUCCACUCCGGAAUCCCAUUUCUUUCAGCAAUAAAAGUUCUGACAGGUCUUCUAAAGUCACGCGCCUGCACAAAAAUUACCCUCUGAAUUUUGUGUCCCCGUGAAAAGAAAGGUUAACUGAUAUAUGAAAACCAUACCUGAAUUUUGGAUUUAAAACAUUUGAAUAAAGAAGACCAGAGUAGAUUUGAUGGACUGGAUAAAUUUUCCAGGGAUGUGCAGUGAUGGACAUCUAGAUUAAUUAAACCUGAUGGAAGCUCUGGAAUUUGUUCAAGAUUGUUGCAGUGACUAAGGUUAAGGGCUUUCAGCCUGGAAAGCUGAUUGAUGGUAGGAGGUAUGCUACUAAAAUGGCCCCCUUCCAGAUUUAGUUUCUUUAAUGAUGAUAAAUAGCAAAUAUGACUAGGGAUUUGGUGGAGCUUUGAACACUCUUGAAGUAGGAGAG